GGGCACAUAUCUGGUGCAUCUUUCUUCCACACUCGGUACACUCUACGAACCUGGAGGUGCAAAGCGAUUCCAGCAUUAAUCCCAGAUCUCUAACCAACCGUUUCCUGUGAUUCCUGACGAUGCAAAGAUAACUAAGGAAAAAAGAUGGACGUAAUGAGAAAAAUGAGCACUCUGAUCACGGUUCUAAUCAAGAUGAACAAAUAUCAUCCUAUAAAUGGAUCACUUUAGAUCUUCUAAUAGGAGCAUACAUAAUCAGAAAUCUGUGGCUAAUGACUCCCUAAGCUGGACAACAUAGCGCAAGACCAUUUAGAAAGAAGCCUAAGCACAAUCCCCUAAGAUCAAGCAGACAAGCAAGGUCAUACUUUUCAAGAUAAUGCAGUUACUUACGUUUGAGGCUGGGAAGGGUCAUCCCCCAAAGAAACGCUCUCCCCUUGGAUUUCAUUGAAACACUUCUCACAGAAAUGAUACCUGUCGGCAAGAAGGCCAUACUGGGGUGAACUGUUCCGUUCACACAACACAGCCCAAGCCAAGCAACGAAGCCACCAAUCACAGCAGGCCAAGGAAGGGACGGGAGCAGAGAGCAGGUCAUCAACGGCGACAAGGACAUUCAAUGAUGCAGAUUUAUGGGCCCCACAGUUUGGGUUUUGUUUUUUGUUUUUGUUUUUUUGCAAUCAAAGCCAAGUGCAGACAACGACAAGCAUGAGGGAGAAAAAAAAAAAACACAAAACAAACGAAGAAAUGAGGGAUUGCAGGACAACAAAAAACAUAAAAGCAAGACAGUACAACACAAAGCAGAAAGCCAAGGCAAAGCUCAGAUUAGCAUUAAAUAUCUCAAAUGGGAUUACAGUAGCAAAUGAUUACAGCAAAUAAAAACAAAAACGCUUCACUUACACAGACCCACACCCUUUUAUUUCAGCAAUUAAUGCUACUUGAUCUAA